rnacentral:rRNA from 1 species
UUCUUUUAGAUUUAAUAAUAAGUAAGGUCUGCCCACUGAGUUUUAAAGGGCCGCAGUAUUAUGACUGUGCAAAGGUAGCAUAAUCAUUAGUUUCUUAAUUAGAGAAUGGAAUGAAUGGCUAAAUAAAGAAUUAUUAUAUUAGUAAUAAAAAUUGAAUUUUAAAUUAAAGUGAAAAUGCUUUAGURAAUUAAUAAGACGAUAAGACCCUUUAGAUCUUUAUAUUAAUUGAUUAUUAAUAGAAUUUUAAAAUAAUAUUUUACUGGGGUAGUAUAAGGAUAAAUAAAUCUCCUUAAAUUAUAUAUUUAUAUAAGAGUUAGAAAUCUUGAAUUUUUGAAAUUAGAAAAAGUUACCUAAGGGAUAACAGCGUUAUUAAUUUUUAGAGCCCUUAUCAAUAAAUUAGUUUGCGACCUCGAUGUUGAAUUAAAAUUCUUAUAUAUAGAAGAAUAUAUAAAAAGUAGUCUGUUCGACUAUGAAAUUUUUACA